UACCAAUAGUCUUUGAGCAUUCUAGAAGGUCUUAUCUUUAAAUCCAAUGGUGGGAAAUAGAAAAGACUCAGAAUGUCCCUAAAGGACCAGGUAAGGGGCACCUAUCUUAUGGAGAUGCUUUAAUGUAUCUGAUAUCAUAACCUCUAAGAGGCCAUUUAUUAUUAGACAGUCCAUUAUUUUGUGAACUUUUAAUAAACAAAAUGAAAAAAAGUGCUCUUCAUUGAGUUAUAACAUAUAAUAAAUGUACAAAUCUUUUCUUUUUCUUUUUUUGAGGUGCUGGGGAUCCAACCUAGGAUCUCAUGUGUGCUAGACAAGCACUCUACCACUAAGCAAUACACCCUGCCCCCAAAUGCACAAGCCUUAAAUGUGCAUUUUGCAGUUUAAUGAAAUGUAUAUACCUGUGUAACCACCAUCUCUCUCUCUCUCUCUCUCUCUCUCUCUCUCUCUCUCACACACACACACACACACACACACACACACACGACAAAGUGAGAAAACGCCCUUUGGAGUGAGAAGUAUACUGCAGGAGGGAAAAGACCCCUUUGUUUUUACAGAACAUCCAUACCCUCUGGUUUCUCCUCCCUGGAGUCAAGGCCCCAGCCUCAGCAGGUAAGCUCAGUAACCCCCAGGUCUCCCAAAUUCCCCACUUGAACAUAUUUCUGAAAAGUCCCUUAAACAAAUGUUUUCCUGAAAACAUCAGGCUGGUGGUUCCUGACAGUAAAAUUAUCCAUACAGUGUUAAUGCUCAUUCACAGAGGGUUCUUCUAUAGACUACUAUAGGCAAGAAGGAAAGACAAAUGUGAGGACCAGCCAUUGCACCUUAUGUUGCUAGAAAAGGUAAAAGCAAAACCCAAGUGGAAUAGAAAAGACAUGUUUAUGUUGGCAUUAACAGAAUAUGAAUACUGGAUUUUGAUGACAUUAAAAAAUAACUUGAACUUUUUUUUUUGCAAUAUGGUAUUGUGCUUCUGCCCUUUUUUAAAGCACCAUUUUUGGGAAGCAUAACAAAGCAUUUGCUGAUAAAAUGAUAUGAAGUUGGGGAUUUAUCUCAAGAUAAUCUGAGUUGGGAGAUGAUGUAAAUGAAACAAAAUUGUUUGUAAAUUGGUGAUUAUCAAAAUAGGAUUACAAUACCUGGGUUUCAUUAUCCUAUUCACGUUACUUUUAUGUAGAUUCAAAAUUUUCCAUAUCAAAAAUGAAAAACAAAAGGAAUCUUAAAAAGAGUAGGGUAGAACUAGGGAUGGUGCUCAGGGGCAGAAGGCUUGUCUAGCAUGCGUGAGGUCCUGGGUUCAAUCCCAGGACCAAAACCUCCCCCUACAAAAAAAAAAAAAAAAUGCAAUCAAGUGCUUUGAGAGAAGAAGGCCCAAGAAUGCUGAAGGGUCUGUGGGACAUGGAUAGUCACCUACCUCAGCAAAAGGCAGGUGGGAGUUGGCCAGGGAAGGCUUCCUGGGGGAGAAGACUUUUACUCUCUUGAAACUUAAGUGAAGUUGGGGAGUGCCAGGCAAGGGACACUACCUGUCCCUGGGACUCACAAUUGGCAUAUUCUUUCCUAUGCUGUCUUGUUUCACUGCCUAACACAUGUUCUGCCCCAAACUUGCCCAAAGGCCCCAGCCUGGUAAACAAUCAGUAUACUCUUCUCACUCAGCUGGAGCUGGGGAGACAGUUACUCCAUCAUGAAGUUCCCUAGAAUUGGAUCAGUCAGUGAGUCAGUCAUCAAACACCUAUAACCAUAAUCAUGUUGUACAACCUCUGUGACAGUAUUGGGCUCAGAUCAUAGCAACAGGCGCCCAGCAGCACUCAUAUUGCCCAUGAACCUAACUGGAGUCCAGAGGAAGAAAUAAACAUUUGUUUAUUCCCUUUCCCACUCCAAGCUCCUUUUGCUCCCCACAUGAACUGUAUCACCCAUCCCCAUCCCUACCACUGAAUUAGCCCAAAAUAUGGCCUAUGGGUUGGUUUCUUGUCUUAGCUCAGUAUGUAUACAUAUAUCUAUAAUUACUUCUAUGUUCACCUUUCCAAAUAACUGAUAUUUGGUUUGAUUUGUCAAAGUUUGUUACAUUAAAAGUUUCCUUCUGUGGGUUGGGGUUGUAGCUCAGUGGUAGAGUACUUUCCUCGCACGCAUGAGGCCCUAGGUUUGAUCCUCAGCACCACAUAAAAGUAAAUAAAUAAA
rnacentral:lncRNA from 1 species